rnacentral:rRNA from 1 species
CAGCCGCCGCGGUAAUACCGGCGGCCCGAGUGGCGGUCACUAUUAUUGGGCUUAAAGCGUCCGUAGCCGGGUUGGGAAGUCCUCCGGGAAAUCUGGCCGCUUAACGGUCAGAAUGCCGGAGGAUACUCCCAGCCUAGGGAGCGGGAGAGGCCGAGGGGAUUCCCGGAGUAGGGGGGAAAUCCUAUAAUCCCGGGAGGACCACCUGUGGCGGAGGCGCUCGGCUGGAACGCGUCCGACGGUGGGGGACGAAGGCCAGGGGAGCAAACCGGAUUAGAUACCCGGGUAGUCCUGGCUGUAAACGAUGCGGACUUUGUGUCGGACAAGCUAUGAGCUUGUCCGGUGCCGGAGGGAAACCGUUAAGUCCGCCGCCUGGGGAGUACGGCCGCAAGGCUGAAACUUAAAGGAAUUGGCGGG